rnacentral:tRNA from 1 species
AUUUAAAUAGCUUAUAUAGAGCAUAGUAUUGAAGAUACUAAGGAAAUAAAUUAUAUUUUUAAAUA